rnacentral:rRNA from 1 species
AGGACGACGCUGGCGGCGUGCCUAAUACAUGCAAGUCGAACGGUCUUUCUAUGGAAGCUUGCUUCCACUGGGAAGAUAGUGGCGGACGGGUGAGUAACACGUGGGUAACCUGCCCAUAAGAGGGGGAUAACAUCCGGAAACGGGUGCUAAUACCGCAUAGUUUUCUUGAUCGCAUGAUUGAGAAAGGAAAGACGGCCUUUGUGCUGUCGCUUAUGGAUGGACCCGCGGCGUAUUAGUUAGUUGGUGAGGUAACGGCUCACCAAGACGAUGAUACGUAGCCGACCUGAGAGGGUGAUCGGCCACAUUGGGACUGAGACACGGCCCAAACUCCUACGGGAGGCAGCAGUAGGGAAUCUUCCGCAAUGGACGAAAGUCUGACGGAGCAACGCCGCGUGAGUGAAGAAAAGGUUUUCGGAUCGUAAAACUCUGUUGUCAGAGAAGAACAAGUCGGAGAGUAACUGCUCCGGCCUUGACGGUAUCUGACCAGAAAGCCACGGCUAACUACGUGCCAGCCGCUGC